rnacentral:hammerhead_ribozyme from 1 species
AUCUAGCUAACGAGUCCCAAGGAGAACGAAACGCGCGUCUUGUAU